CAGGCUCAAGGAGGAGUUAAAAGGAAAGAGCUGAGAAUGGUGGAGUCCCAGGAGUGAGGUGGUCUGGAGUUCCUUCUCUAUGGGAAGGACCUGACUGAAGCCAGCUGGAGGAAGAACUGUGAGGAAAAUGUACAGGAGUGGUGUUAGCUGCUGUGAUGGGCCUUGAAAAAGGAGCAAGGCUCCAGGGAGGAAGCCUUGUGGGUUGGUGUUUGGUAGAAGAGUUGAGAACUGGGGGGAAUGUGAGAUAGACAAAAGGCUCAAGUCUGAGAUGGGUCAAAGUUGUUUAGUUUGUAUUUCAUCUGGUUUGGGGGUUUUGCAAGGGACCUGUUAGCCAGCGUCCUGGAAGAAGCUUGGGCCUGACAAGGAGCCCUGGAAAGGUUGAAGAUAUUGUGCUGAUUGCCAUUAUUUUGGGACACAGAUAAUGGGAUGGAACCACAACGUGACCUGCUGGAGGACAAGCUCACUGCUGAAGUCCUGGGGACGAGAGCAAAGCAGAAUUGCUGAAACACUAUGUCAUGCCCCAAGGGGAUGCUGCAGGACAGAAGAUUGGGAGUGGCUGUGUGCUGCAGAAAGCAGCAAAAAAUAGCCCUGGCAAGCAUAGUUCCAGAUGUUGGCCAGGAAGCUCCAGUUCAGCCACUCACUUGGAAUGGCCCUGUUGUUACCAGCUACACAUGUCGCAGCCCUGACCCCGCGCCAGGCACCCUGCACGGCCAGCCCGUCCAGUCUGCCCUCAGAGCCCCAGAGCUCUGUGGGCUGGGCGGGACAGAGCCUCUAGGGGGCACACGGAGAGAGAACCCAGACCUCCUGGAAGUGUGUCUGUGGAGCCUCCAGACUCCACCAGAACAGCCACAUGCAGCUGCCAGUCACUUUUUCAGGUUUAAAACUCUUCAUUAGGCAUGAAAAUAACUGCUGAGCUCAACCACUUAUUUGGGGGGGUGUCCAUUUGCUGGGAUGUUAAAGGGUUAAACUAGCCCCUUUCCCCAGUGUUUGUGCCCGCUGCUUACCUUUGUGAGAGCCCCCUCUAGCUCCCAAAUGCCCUUGUGUUAACUCUUCAGAUGCCAGGUCACUUUACAACUGAACAGAAUCUCGUGGACAGGCUAGUUCCAGAACAGGGUUAGAGAGUGAAGGAAGGGCCAGAUCCCGACAUGCUUACACCUCUCCAGUGGCAUCUCACUCCACAGUGAGCCCCAUUGUUUUCUAUUACACUACCCCUGGAGUCAAGGGCUCCGCACCUUGUUGGCAGAAACUGGUCCAAAGGAAGAGAACCCCCAGCAGCCAAAGGAUAAAACGAGUUAGAUGUGUUACAAUUCCACAGGCCACAAUACUGACCGUUACAGCCCCCAGCUCGUCUGGGAGAGAACACGGUGUCUGGAGAGCUUGUCAGGUGGGGGAUUGCUGGGCCUCCAGGGAGACAUUUGUCCGCAUGUGCCACGCACCGCCAGCCUAGAGGUCACUGCUCUGUGAAGAGCUUGGAGAGAGCUGGAGGGGCAAUCACCAUUUAGAGAGCAGAUGUAUCUGCCGGGACGGUGCAUGUGCAAAAUGUGGGACAUUCAAACUGCCCCACCCCUGCCAUGCACAGGCAGCCCCACCAGGAGAGCUCCUAACACCAGAGGCAAGAAGCAUCAGAUGCCAGCACAGAGGGUUGCUCUGGGAAUGGAGAACACCCUCUCCCCGCUGGUCUGGCAGGAAGAGCUUUUGCCUUCCUCACCCCCUGCCAGGACCUGAUAUGAGCUGGCUCCUCCUGGUGAGCUGGGGAACUUACUGACCCUUCCCCAAUGAGUGGGCAGACGAGAUGCCUUCAGUAAAGCAACGUAUGCUCAGCUCCCACACAAGUAACUUUUCCUGUUGUGGGAAUUUGAGGUUGAAGCGCCCUCUGGUGCUCAUUCUGCAUCCUGCCGCGCAGCAAUGUGGCCUUGUGCUCCCUGCCUGCCCAGUCAGCGCACCUGGUGCCUGCAGCCAAAAGCCAGCAUGUUCUUUGCUGUACGUUUGGCAGUUAUGGAAAGUUUGGCUCUUGGGUCACUGAGCGACAGCUCAGGAAAGCCAGGCCUAGUGCAGGCAGGUGACAGGAAAGCUUCAUCCUCCCUGGAUACCCACGCACAGAGCUCUGCCAGUGCUCCCGGCAACUCCAGCCCUGCCCCUCUCCAGCUCUGCAUUGCCCCUGGGUCAGGGCUUGCAGCACUU